GAUGAAGAACGUAGCGAAAUGCGAUAAGUAAUGUGAAUUACAGAAUUCAGUGAAUCAUCGAAUCUUUGAACGCACCUUGCGCCCUUUGGCUAUUCCGAAGGGCAUGCCUGUUUGAGUAUCAUGAACACCUCAACUCUCAUGGCUUGCCAUGACGAGCUUGGACUUUGGGGGUCUUGCUGGCCUGUGGUCAGCUCCUCUCAAAUGAAUUAGCUUGCCAGUGUUUGGUGGCAUCACGGGUGUGAUAACUCUCUACGCUUGUGGUCCUCCACCAGGUAACCUUCCAGUGAUGGGGGUUCGCUGGGGCUUAUAAAUGUCUCUCCUCAGUGAGGACAGCUCUUUGAACGUUUGAUCUCAAAUCAGGUAGGACUACCCGCUGAACUUAAGCAUAUCAAUAAGCGGAGGA
rnacentral:misc_RNA from 1 species